rnacentral:rRNA from 1 species
GACGGAGGGGGCAAGCGUUGUCCGGACUCACUGGGCGUAAAGGGUGCGUAGGCGGUUGGGUGCGUCGGCGCUGAAAUCCUUGGGCUUAACCCAGGGGCGCGUGCCGAUACGACCCGACUCGAGGCGCGGAGAGGGUGGGAGAACUCCUGGUGUAGUGGUGAAAUGCGUAGAGAUCAGGAAGAAUACCUGUGGCGCAAGCGCCCACCUGGCCGCCGCCUGACGCUGAGGCACGAAAGCGUGGGGAGCGAACCGG